rnacentral:rRNA from 1 species
CGGCCGCGUCGACAGAAGCGAAAAGUGACGGUACCUGCAGAAGAAGCACCGGCUAACUACGUGCCAGCAGCCGCGGUAAUACGUAGGGUGCGAGCGUUAUCCGGAAUUAUUGGGCGUAAAGAGCUCGUAGGCGGUUUGUCGCGUCUGUCGUGAAAGUCCCGGGGCUUAACCCCCGGGAUCUGCGGUGGGUACGGGCAGACUAGAGUGCAGUAGGGGAGACUGGAAUUCCUGGUGUAGCGGUGGAAUGCGCAGAUAUCAGGAGGAACACCGAUGGCGAAGGCAGGUCUCUGGGCUGUAACUGACGCUGAGGAGCGAAAGCAUGGGGAGCGAACAGGAUUAGAUACCCUGGUAGUCCAUGCCGUAAACGUUGGGCACUAGGUGUGGGGGACAUUCCACGUUUUCCGCGCCGUAGCUAACGCAUUAAGUGCCCCGCCUGGGGAGUACGGCCGCAAGGCUAAAACUCAAAGGAAUUGACGGGGGCCCGCACAAGCGGCGGAGCACUGCGGAUUAAUUCGAUCGUCGACGCGGCCG